UUAUUUUCUAAAGUAUAGCGUCUGGAUGACAAGUGAUAUAGAAAUGGUAAUUUAUGACAAUUGGAAUAGUAUCGGCUUUUUUAGCUUGUCUAAAUGGAUAAUAUCCAAGACGAAUAACCAAGAAGUUGGUUAUUGACUUCGGAAGAAAUUAUAUUACGAUAAUAUUAUUGAAAAGUCCGAGUGUUUCGAUUGUUGUUUGGAUAAGUUGAAUGACGUCGUUUAAAGCUAUUUUUAUUUGUUUGUGACGUUAUACAAAUCAUGGAAAACACCAGACUGCAUGGCUUGGCCGCGAAGGAAAAUAACAGCACAGCAAACCUUGGGCUUGAGAAACUAAUGAUGAUUUCUGGACACAGAUUUUAUGUGAUAAAUGUCAAGAAUUAAAAAAAUAUAAUGUUCAGGAUA